GACUCCUUCAUUACGCAGAAGGCUGGGGAACACUUUCUCUGUUCUAGAUAUUAAUAAAAUACAGCUUUUGUGGUCCCAAUAGGAGAUAAAAUGAUAGAGGUCUGCGAUUAGCACCAAGGUAGGGAUGAGGGAGUGAUGUAAACGCUGCCUGGCCGGCAGCUUGCCGAGGAGAUCAGUUUCUGACUGACAAUAGCAGGAGUUCAGAUUCAGGAGGUUCAUAGAAGAUAGUGUGGAGGAUGCUGGUAGCUCUAGGAUCAAGAACUGCCACGGGCCAGUUACGAGGCGAUUACCUGGGAAACCCGGAAGGCCCUCGUGGAGGAUUCUGGGGAGCCGACGUUGCGGCUCCUGAAGCGCAUGCGCCAGGAUUCCCGCCCCCGACACAGCAGCGGUGCCAUCCUGACUAUGCUGCGUGUAGAUCCUUAUCUUGGGUUUCCAGCCUGGGUGGCCGGAGGCGCUGUUCCAGCAGCGUGUUUGUUCUGCAGUUGUGUGUUAUUACUUCAGUGCAUCGCCCAGAGGAAACUCAGGCAAAGUCCAUAACUUACUAUACUGUAGUACGAUCACCAAAAGGAGCGUCUCAUGCCUGGAGAACCCCUACUCAACAGCCAAGUAUUUAUAGAAUUCCACAUUCAAGAUAUACAAAAUCCCUACCUACUAAGGAGGGAAGGAAUUAUGGAAUCAUCUGCAGGUAGAAUAUGAUUUAUAGAAACAAAGCCCAGGAUGGCCCUCCCAGAGACAGAGCUGCAGGUAACCUGGCCAUACUCAGGGGCCUGGUCUUCCGAGGAGAAACUCAACAAGGGCCCAGGUGGUGAAUUCUGACUAGUAUCAUGGAAUUAAUGAAAAUAUACUGUUUAUGGUAAGUGAUUUUUAAACUUUAUUGUUAACAUCAUCCCCUUUUCCACAUCAGUAACA
rnacentral:lncRNA from 1 species